AAAAAGACAAACCCUGAGUUUCCGUGUCCAACUUUAACUGUCCGUCUUAUAUGAAAUUUUUUUAUAAUUCAUAUUUUCAUUGUUGUUAGAUGAUAAACAUAAUUAAUAUUUUAUGUGUGACUUGUUUUUUUAAUUUUUUUAUAAUUUUUUCAAAUAAGACAGACAGUCAAACAUUAUACACGGAAACCUCCUCUUCUU
rfam:Oryza glaberrima chromosome 1 Oglab01_0236_10, whole genome shotgun sequence.